GCCUGAGCCGAAAUCGGACACUCAACCGACGGAGCCACCCAGAUCCGGUUUCCUCCAACAGAAGCAACCACCAUUACUUGUUCCUCUCGCACCCUUCCAGAGAGAAUACAAGGAUAUCCAAGCAUAUGAGAAGACUGGGACCCAGACAGCUAAAGGGACUUGCCCAAGGUGACACAUCUCCAUAGUGUCAAAGUCUCCAGGCCUCUCACCCCAGAGUGACUUGGUAACAGCCUUUUCCACCC